UCUCAGGGGUACAAAUGAUGUCCUGUUCUGUUACUGACUCUGAAGUGAGGAUAAAGUAUACCUGAGGAGA